UGAGGAAUAUUGGACAAUGGGCGCAAGCCUGAUCCAGCCAUGCCGCGUGCAGGAAGAAGCAUCUAUGGUGUGUAAACUGCUUCUGUACGGGAAGAAACACUCCUACGUGUAGGAGCUUGACGGUACCGUAAGAAUAAGGAUCGGCUAACUCCGUGCCAGCAGCCGCGGUAAUACGGAGGAUCCAAGCGUUAUCCGGAAUCAUUGGGUUUAAAGGGUCCGUAGGCGGUUUAGUAAGUCAGUGGUGAAAGCCCAUCGCUCAACGAUGGAACGGCCAUUGAUUCUGCUAGAAUUGAAUUACAAGGAAGUAACUAGAAUAUGUAGUGUAGCGGUGAAAUGCUUAGAUAUUACAUGGAAUACCAAUUGCGAAGGCAGGUUACUACUUGUGGAUUGACGCUGAUGGACGAAAGCGUGGGGAGCGAACA
rnacentral:rRNA from 1 species